rnacentral:rRNA from 1 species
UACGAAGGGGCUAGCGUUGUUCGGAAUUACUGGGCGUAAAGCGCGCGCAGGCGGCUAUCCAAGUCAGUGGUGAAAGCCCGGAGCUCAACUCCGGAACUGCCAUUGAAACUGUUUAGCUUGAGGACGAGAGAGGUGAGUGGAAUUCCCAGUGUAGAGGUGAAAUUCGUAGAUAUUGGGAAGAACACCGGUGGCGAAGGCGGCUCACUGGCUCGUUUCUGACGCUCAGGCGCGAUAGCGUGGGGAUCAAACAGG